AACGAACGCUGGCGGCAGGCUUAACACAUGCAAGUCGAACGCCGUAGCAAUACGGGAGUGGCGGACGGGUGAGUAACGCGUGGGAACGUGCCCUGAGGUAGGGAAUAACUGCGGGAAACUGCAGCGAAUACCGUAUGAGCCCCGCAAGGGGGAACGAUUUAGCGCCUUAGGAGCGGCCCGCGGCGGAUUAGCUAGUUGGUGGUGUAACGGCUUACCAAGGCUUCGAUCCGUAGCUGGUCUGAGAGGAAGAUCAGCCACACUGGGAAUGAGACACGGCCCAGACUCCUACGGGAGGCAGCAGUGGGGAAUCUUGCGCAAUGGGGGCAACACUGACGCAGCCAUGCCGCGUGAAUUAUGAAGGCCUUAGGGUUGUAAAGUUCUUUUGCCCGUGACGAUGAUGACGGUAACGGGAGAAUAAGCUCCGGCUAACUUCGUGCCAGCAGCCGCGGUAAAAC
rnacentral:rRNA from 1 species